UACGAAGGGGGCUAGCGUUGUUCGGAAUCACUGGGCGUAAAGCGCACGUAGGCGGAUCUUUAAGUCAGGGGUGAAAUCCCGAGGCUCAACCUCGGAACUGCCUUUGAUACUGGGGAUCUCGAGUCCGGGAGAGGUGAGUGGAACUGCGAGUGUAGAGGUGAAAUUCGUAGAGUAUUCGCAAGAACACCAGUGGCGAAGGCGGCUCACUGGCCCGGAACUGACGCUGAGGUGCGAAAGCGAUGGGGAGCAACAG
rnacentral:rRNA from 1 species